GGUAGGUCCCACCCCAUGUACUGUUUGUCGGCCAUGGACUUCAAAGAAUUGCAAGUUCCCUGUGAUUCUGUUCACUAAGGCACGUCCUCACUUCACUCAUCUCGUUUCUCUCUGCCAGCUGAUUCCUCGUCUCUGCCGAUCCUUUUGUUGAAUCAAUCUCUGUUGCGGAAUUUCAUCAUAAGGCUUAUCGGCAAGUUUUUACCAGAUCUGUUUUUGCCGAAAGAAUCACUUCAGUCCAAUAAACCAUCCAGUAUAGAAGAACCCCCUUAGUGGGGGAAAAGCCUUUGACAUCGUGGAGCAAAAGAGACGUUGAAGGAUAUGGGGGUUCAUUCCUACCGGCAGGAGCAUCCAUUGGAAACACAGUUGGCACAUUUUCCUAAUGAGAUAGUCUACUGAAAUAGAUUCAAAGUGCUCCAAGGAUUUCUAAUGUUCGAAAAUAAAUGAACAUUUGUUGGAGUUAUCUCAUAUCAAUUAUGAAAUGGGUUGGUGAUCAAUUUAUAUAUGAGGGAAAACCACACAUUUUGAGUUAACUUUCGGGAUCAAAGAGACCCAAGAUCACCCAGUACGAUUCAAUCUAGCUUUUUUCGUUUUUGUCUCUUCUCCAUCUAGUUGGAGCUUAAUUUCAUCUACUAUGCAUCCAAGGUUGCAACAUUUGCUCGGUCAAUUUUAAUGCUCCAUCACAGGUUAAUAGCAUACGCUCAACAGUUGUACGUGCGGAUUAUGGCACAACAAAAUUCAUACCUCUAUAUGAAGAGUUUGCAUGUUGGAGUCAGCCACCCAAGUUUGGAUUUGCACCAUACCGGGAUCCUUGAAUAGGGUUAGCGGGGGUAGGUAAUGGGCUUGGAACGUCCCAACAGAGGAAGAACAUGAUGUCCUCAGGGACGUUCCAACUCUUGCCAAAUUCCCUCUCUGCCUCAAAUUGUGCUCGUAAAUUCGACCAAGAUAACCUAAAUCAGGGCUGUAUGCUUCUUUUCUUUCUCUAGAAUCCUUCCAUUCUAAUUCUUGUCUUGCACUUCGGAACACUAAUUAAACAUUACUGAGGUACUCAGGAUAAAUGUCCAAAUAUAAAUGCUGAAAGCUAAAAGUUUUGUACCUGGAAUGCUAACUGACGACAUUUUUCCCCGAGUGCUCUCAGCAGCCUGACAGUGGACGUCAACAAAAUUCCGGGAAUCACCAACCAUGCAUUCAUUUUUGUCCAAGAGGUCAGCUAUGUCUAUGGAGUUAAAGCGAAGAUGGAUGCUCUGGAAGGGAAUAUGGAAACGGUGUCAACCAAGAAGGCAGACAUAGGUGACCAAGCAGAGCAGGAACAGGGGAGACCGGAAAAGAAAAGAAAAGAGAAGUUGACCUUUGGAUGCAGAGAGCAGUAUCGCUGGAGGAUCAAGUCCAUGAGCUAAGACGAAAAGUUAAGGAGGGUAUUUCUUUUUAUCGGGUGAAUUUGGACCUCUUUCAUCCAAAAGAUAGCUCAAGGGUUGGAGGCCACAACAGUCACUCACCUAGGCUCUAAUGCUAGUAUUGAGUGAUCUUGGACCUCUCUCCCUCAAAAUCUAAUUCAAGGGGUGAGAUUUUCCCCCACAUUUAUAAAUAUUACAUGUCCCUUCCACAACCGACGUGGGAUAAACCCCAAUACUUUUCACUUCUUACAUUGGUGUAUCAGCGACUGAAGUGGACAAAUUACUCAAGAAUGGUAGAUUUGGUGACGGUCUCACGCUGGAUGUGAAACUAGCUUGAGGCUAUGAACUACAACUGGGUGAACUGGUGAGACAACCGUCUUAUUUUAUAUUUCAUGUAUCUUUAUUGGGAAAAUAUAUGCAAAAUCUUAAACAUGUGCUAGAUUACACCUUCGAAGUCAAAGGAGAACUCAGCUUUUAAGGAGCAAGCUAUAUGGAUUAUUGAUAGCAAGGAUCAAGUGUUGUGACGUGGAACUAUAACCACACUAAGAAAGAGCCACUUGGGAGCUCGAGGAGGAUGUAAAACGCAAAUACCCUUAUUUAUUUGCAAAUUGAGCAACAACUAGGUAAUAUUUGUUGGGAGCAGCAGAAAAGAGAAAUAGCCUAAAACUUCUGUACAUGUACGUCAGGGCGACACGCCGAGUCUCCCCUCCCCAAGUCUUUUAGAUAUCUUCCGAGAAGGAAAAUCCACUAUUCGAGAUCAUUUCUAUCGUUUCACUAUGAUUUGUAAUCUACUAUGAAAAGGGUAUUAUGCAAUAAGUAAAUUUUGCAACAAAAUAGAGAUUUUGGUUUUCAAUUAAUGUG